AGGCCUAUAGCUCAGUUGGUAGAGCACUGGUCUCCAAAACCAGGUGUCGGGGGUUCGAGUCCCUCUGGGCCUGCCA
rnacentral:tRNA from 1 species